rnacentral:tRNA from 1 species
GGGAAGGUGGCUCAGUGAUAGAGUGCUUGCCUUGUAUGCAUGACAAGCUGGGUUCAAUUCCUCUGUACCA